GCUGCUCCCAUCCGGUCCGCGCCACGCUGCGUCUCCCGUUAUAGGAUCUUUGGUUACGUCACCGCGCCGCUACGUCACACGCUCGGGCCCGGCACUUUCAUAUACGCCGUGACGCCACGCGUCCUUACGUCAUUCAACGUAACAAGUUUCAAUGUAUAGGAAGGCAGUGCAGAUCAAAGAUUAUAGAGGAUGGGGCAAUCUGGAAAAGGGGGAGAAAUGGGAAGUUUAUUGUGCAGAAACUACAGAGGGCUAUAAUAAAGCCUCGAGGAGCUGGAGGCCUCUGCUGGAGACCGACUUUGGGAUCUCCAACUGCGGGAGCCUGCGGGACUUAACAUCGUGGAGCUGGCGAACCCUGUCAGGGAUCAACCUCAGAGCUCCAACUGCGGGAGCCUGUGGCUUUUAACAUUGUGCAUUCUUGGCGGGUUUUCCAAACAUGGAUUGUCAUUAUCUUAAGUGUAUCGUAAGAAACAAAGAGAGAAGAAUGGAGUUUGUGUACAAAUAAUGUGCAUUGUAUUUUUGCUGGAUGAUUAGCCUCUCUUGCCAACACUUUAAGUCAUAUAUGUUCUAUGAGGUCAAAGAAAGAGUGGUCAAGUCACGGCCCUGUUUCCACUAAUCUUUCCACCACCACGCACAAGAAGCACAAGAAGCGCAAGACAGACACCAUUGCACUCUGGCUGAACAAUUUCUAAUCUUGUGUGAGGACGCGAGAAGAAGAAGAUAAAUGUUCUAUCAGCCAGUAAUCAUUCCACUCUGUUUCUUUGUUUUUCCUUCCCCAUUUAAAAAAAUCUAAACGUGCUUUCAUCUCUUAAUAGUGUACAAACUGAAAUGGUUGACUUUCUGAUCUGCCAGAAAUUAUUUUUUAAUUUGGGUUGAUUUAUAAUUUGAUUUUAAACACUAUAAAUAUAAUAAAUCACUUCACUUACAUGGAAGAUGACUUGCAAAAUCCUUCACAUGAAUUAACUUCAACGAAUGCUGAACAACUACCCUUGGUUAAUUCCGUCAGCACGGGUUGAACUUUGCAUCGUUGCACUGUGGGAAAAUAAAACAUGUAAAUUGGUAGGAAUCAAUCAGUAUUUAAAAUUAUUAUAAAUCCAUUAUAAAUAUAAAUAUGUCUUGAAAUUUAAAUUUAACCAAUUAAGGUGCACCUUCCACCUGGCUCUGUGUAGUUUGCAACCUUGAGAUAUAUUACAAUUAAUUUCCUCAUUCAAAUAAUUAAUAUGACAUUAGCAGGUGGCACAGUGGUAGAGCUGCGGCCUUACAGCGCCAAAGACCCAGGUUCAAUCCUGACUAUGGAUGCUGUUUGUA